rnacentral:rRNA from 1 species
AAUCAACGCUGGCGGCGUGCCUAACACAUGCAAGUCGCACGAGAAAGCGGACUUCGGUCUGCAAGUACAGUGGCGCACGGGUGAGUAACACGUGAAUUAUCUACCUUCGAGUGGGGAAUAACCUCGGGAAACCGAGGCUAAUACCGCAUAACACUUACGAGUCAAAGCAGCAAUGCGCUUGAAGAGGAGUUCGCGGCAGAUUAGUUAGUUGGCGGGGUAAUGGCCCACCAAGACGAUGAUCUGUAUCCGGCCUGAGAGGGCGCACGGACACACUGGAACUGAAACACGGUCCAGACUCCUACGGGAGGCAGCAGUGGGGAAUUUUGCGCAAUGGGGGAAACCCUGACGCAGCAACGCCGCGUGGAGGAUGAAAUCCCUUGGGAUGUAAACUCCUUUCGAUCGGGACGAUUAUGACGGUACCGGAAGAAGAAGCCCCGGCUAACUUCGUGCCAGCCGCCGCAGUAAGAC